UACGAAGGGUGCUAGCGUUGUUCGGAAUUACUGGGCGUAAAGCGCACGUAGGCGGAUUGUUAAGUGAGGGGUGAAAUCCCAGGGCUCAACCCUGGAACUGCCUCUCAUACUGGCAAUCUCGAGUUCGAGAGAGGUGAGUGGAAUUGCGAGUGUAGAGGUGAAAUUCGUAGAUAUUCGCAGGAACACCAGUGGCGAAGGCGGCUCACUGGCUCGAUACUGACGCUGAGGUGCGAAAGCGUGGGGAGCAAACAGG
rnacentral:rRNA from 1 species